GUCUAAAGUAGCUACGUGCCCGAUCUCGUCUGAUCUCGGAAGCUAAGCAGGGUUGAGCCUGAUUAGUACUUAGAUGAGAGACCACCUAGGAAUACCAUGGUGCUGUAGGCA
rnacentral:rRNA from 1 species